ensembl:misc_RNA Metazoa_SRP Metazoan signal recognition particle RNA
GCCGGGCGUGGUGGCUCAUGCCUGUAGUCCCAGCUACUCGGGAGGCUGAGGUGGGAGGAUUGCUUGAGCCCAGGAGUUCUGGGCUGUAGUGUGCUGUGCAGUUCGGGUGUCCGCACUAAUUUCGGCAUCAAUAUGGUGACCUCCCGGGAGCAGGGGACCACCAGGUUGCCUAAGGAGGAGGGGUCAACCAGCCCAGGUCGGAAACGGAGCAGGUCAAAACUCCUGUGCUGAUCAGUGGUAGGAUCACGCCUGUGAAUAGCCACUGCCCUCCAGCCUGGGCAGCAUAGUGAGACUCCGUCUCU